UACGUAGGGUCCGAGCGUUGUCCGGAAUUAUUGGGCGUAAAGGGCGCGUAGGCGGUCAGCACAAGUCAGUUGUGAAAUCUCCGGGCUUAACCCGGAAAGGUCAACUGAUACUGUGCGACUAGAGUGCGGAAGGGGCAACUGGAAUUCUCGGUGUAGCGGUGAAAUGCGUAGAUAUCGAGAGGAACACCUGCGGCGAAGGCGGGUUGCUGGGCCGACACUGACGCUGAUGCGCGAAAGCCAGGGGAGCGAACGGG
rnacentral:rRNA from 1 species